ensembl:lncRNA
UGAUUUCAUUUUCAUGAGGUAAAGCUGGAGAAACCCUGGCCGUGAAAGGAGCACGGAGGUUCAGGAGUUUGGUGGACAUGGGGACAUAACGGCAGGUUCGGACAGUUCAUGCUCUUGGGUUGCAUUACCAAGAGUGAAUGAUUCAUGAGUUUGACUGUUUGUUAAAGUCAGGACGUUUCAGCUUCACAGAUUCAUUCGCGUCAGUACGGGACUAACCUGCUCCAGUACCUCAUCGUUAUAAAUACUCAUCGAUCUUUGAGCACAGAUGUUCAUUUUUAUUCACAUGGGUUUACUAUAGGUUACUUUAGGCCGUACAUAUUUUGGCAGGUGAAUAACAGGUGGCAGCAUCAGGUGAAGUAGAGGCGGCUCAGCCUGUUGGCGCUCUCGAUGUUGAUGGAACAUGGCGACACGGCGAACGCCCACGCUGGCACUGAACCAACCCCGCACCCCGGGCUCCUCCCUCACGCGCCCGCUUAAGGCUGAGACGACUUACGGUCUUCAUUUUACAGGCUUUGCGUUUUGUACGUAUUUACUCUGCAGACCGGCCCCUGACAGCAUGUGUGACAGAGUCCAUGAACAUCUGUCCUGCCCACAGCAAUCUGUAAGUGCUCUGCUGUGGCUGCUGUGUAGUUUGUUUGAUUCAUCAUUACAUUGGACCUCAGGGUUCGUUAGAUUAACUUUUCUUUAAAGAGGGCCUUCACUGAAUAAAAAAAAAAAAAGAUGUCUCCCUUAUCUGACCAUUUUACCCAUUGGCAGCUGGGAGAACACGACUCGGGGUGGGAGGCAGCCUUCCGUCAAUUUGACAAUGUGGCUGUUGCAGAUGAGCCGUAUCUACAAGUGCCGGUGCUGUUUGCUUCUUCUUUUAUAUGCUGACAUUUGUCUUCUUGCUCUCCCUAAAAAUGUCAAGGAUUCUUAACACUGGUGAAACCUUCCAAAUGGCAACACCGAGGUGGCGUGUGGGGUAACUAAUACAGGCGGUUCUCACCACGGAGGAGCUUACAAACGAAGGGCAGUCAAGCAGAAAGGGAAGUGGUUGAAACACAAUGACACUGUGCUCGGUCAAAUAAGGAGUAAGCGGGAUCCUUUCCAUCUCAGCUGUAUUACACCUGGCACCAAGUGAAUGACCCAAAUCUGGAAGUCAGACCCCGAUUCUAAUCUACAGGUGGUGACACUAAUAUUUCCUCAGUGGUCACUAUACACGGUAACGAAAAAAAAGCUUUCCUUCUUUGGUCAAAAAGUGUUCAUAUGUUUAAAUGGCAUUAAUAUUGAGAACAAAUAUUUUUGAAUUUUUCAGUUAUUUAAAAAAGUGAAUCAGUUAAUGAAAAUUCAUAUAUUUGUGUGAUUCCGGACGCACACACGCUGCUCUUCUUCAGUGGUUUCAGGCUGCUGCUCUACGAGGGGCAAUUUACACUCCUGAAACCCUGAAAAUGAAUAAAUGUAUGUGUAUUUUUUAUCCUAUGUUAAAUCUGACUUAACAUAUAGCUAAAAGUAAGUCAUAUGCAGGUCAAAAGUGAUAUUGGUGGGCUUGAGAGUGUAGUCAAUACUAGUCAAUUUUGUAUUAAAGGUUUUCUGUUUUUAAUUAUUUUUAGGUAACUCGCAGGUCGGACUGGAUUUUGAGAAAGAAGGAAGAUGCAUCCAUGCAUCCCUGCAUUGUGCUUUUUAAUUGUUCAGUUGAACGAUGAUAUCCAACCAAUUCAGUCGCUUUUAAAGGGCCAACGUGGUGCUUCAACCAGAGGCCAGAUCACAGUUAUGCACACUCACAACUAUCUACACGCACGAUGUGUCAUUUUAUUUCAUUUUGAUCUGUUUCCUGUGGUUGGAAUGAUACUCUUUAUUAUAGAAUGCGUUUUUUUGGUUUUAUUUCAUGUCUCUGUAUCGAGAUAAUUAACCUGCACUGGAAUAAAUGUAAUGUGUGAG